UGAGGAAUAUUGGUCAAUGGACGGAAGUCUGAACCAGCCAAGUAGCGUGCAGGAUGACGGCCCUAUGGGUUGUAAACUGCUUUUGUAUGGGGAUAAAGUUAGGGACGUGUCCCUAUUUGCAGGUACCAUACGAAUAAGGACCGGCUAAUUCCGUGCCAGCAGCCGCGGUAAUACGGAAGGUCCAGGCGUUAUCCGGAUUUAUUGGGUUUAAAGGGAGCGUAGGCUGGAGAUUAAGUGUGUUGUGAAAUGUAGACGCCCAACGUCUGAAUUGCAGCGCAUACUGGUUUCCUUGAGUACGCACAACGUUGGCGGAAUUCGUCGUGUAGCGGUGAAAUGCUUAGAUAUGACGAAGAACUCCGAUUGCGAAGGCAGCUGACGGGAGCGCAACUGACGCUUAAGCUCGAAGGUGCGGGUAUCAAACAGGAUUAGAUACCCUGGUAGUCCGCACAGUAAACGAUGGAUGCCCGCUGUUGGUACCUGGUAUCAGCGGCUAAGCGAAAGCAUUAAGCAUCCCACCUGGGGAGUACGCCGGCAACGGUG
rnacentral:rRNA from 1 species